rnacentral:rRNA from 1 species
CGCAGCCGCGGUAAUUCCAGCUCCAAUAGCGUAUAUUAAAGUUGUUGCAGUUAAAAAGCUCGUAGUUGAAUUUCGGGGUUAGCAGGUCGGUCGUGCCAUCGGUAUGAACUGGUCUCGCUGAUCCCUCCCUCUUGACGAACUGUGAUGCCAUUAAUUUGGUGUCGCAGGGAAUCAGGACUGUUACUUUGAAAAAAUUAGAGUGUUUAAAGCAGGCUCACACUUGAAUACAUUAGCAUGGAAUAAUGAAAUAGGACGUUUGAUCCUAUUUUGUUGGCUUCUGGGAUUGACGUAAUGAUUAAUAGGGAUAGUUGGGGGCAUUAGUAUUCAAUUGUCAGAGGUGAAAUUCUUAGGAUUUAUUGAAGACUAACUACUGCGAAAGCAUUUGCCAAGGAUGUUUUCAUUAAUCAAGAACGAAAGUUAGGGGAUCGAAGACGAUCAGAUACCGUCGUA